UGGGGAAUAUUGCACAAUGGGCGCAAGCCUGAUGCAGCCAUGCUGCGUGUAUGAAGAAGGCCUUCGGGUUGUAAAGUACUUUCAGCGGGGAGGAAGGGAGUAAAGUUAAUACCUUUGCUCAUUGACGUUACCCGCAGAAGAAGCACCGGCUAACUCCGUGCCAGCAGCCGCGGUAAUACGGAGGGUGCAAGCGUUAAUCGGAAUUACUGGGCGUAAAGCGCACGCAGGCGGUUUGUUAAGUCAGAUGUGAGAUCCCCGGGCUCAACCUGGGAACUGCAUCUGAUACUGGCAAGCUUGAGUCUCGUAGAGAGGGGUAGAAUUCCAGGUGUAGCGGUGAAAUGCGUAGAGAUCUGGAGGAAUACCGGUGGCGAAGGCGGCCCCCUGGACAAAGACUGACGCUCAGGUGCGAAAGCGUGGGGAGCAAACAGG
rnacentral:rRNA from 1 species